UACGUAGGGCGCAAGCGUUGUCCGGAUUUAUUGGGCGUAAAGAGCUCGUAGGCGGUCUGUCGCGUCGGAUGUGAAAACUCGGAGCUCAACUCCGAGCCUGCAUCGGAUACGGGCAGACUUGAGUACUGCAGGGGAGACUGGAAUUCCUGGUGUAGCGGUGGAAUGCGCAGAUAUCAGGAGGAACACCGGUGGCGAAGGCGGGUCUCUGGGCAGAAACUGACGCUGAGGAGCGAAAGCGUGGGGAGCGAACAGG
rnacentral:rRNA from 1 species